rnacentral:tRNA from 1 species
GUAAAUAUAGUUUAAAUAAAACAUUAGAUUGUGAUUCUAAAAACAAAAGUUAAAAUCUUUUUAUUUACC